rnacentral:rRNA from 1 species
UGAGGAAUAUUGGUCAAUGGUCGGGAGACUGAACCAGCCAAGCCGCGUGAGGGAGGAAGGUACAGAGUAUCGUAAACCUCUUUUGUCAGGGAACAAAGGCGGGGGCGUGUCCCCGGAUGAGUGUACCUGAAGAAAAAGCAUCGGCUAACUCCGUGCCAGCAGCCGCGGUAAUACGGAGGAUGCGAGCGUUAUCCGGAUUUAUUGGGUUUAAAGGGUGCGCAGGCGGUCUGUUAAGUCAGCGGUCAAAGCCCGGGGCUCAACCCCGGCCCGCCGUUGAAACUGGCAGUCUCGAGUUGGAGAGAA